GAUCAACGCUGGCGGCGUGCCUAAUGCAUGCAAGUCGAACGGGGUCAUCUUCGGAUGGCUUACGUGGCGGACGGGAGAGGCACACGUGGGCAACCUGCCCUGGAGUCGGGGAUAACCCGUGGAAACACGGGGUAAUACCGCAUGAACUAUUGUGCCGAGUGGGGCAUGGGAGGCAAGCCUUGUGGCGUUCUGGGGGGGGCCUGCGGACGAUUAGGUAGGCGGUGGGGUAACGGCCUACCGUGCCGAUUAACCGUAGAUGGUUGGAGAGGAUGAUCAGCCAGACGGGGACUGGGGGACGGAGUCGGCACCUACGGGAGGCAGCCGCAAGGAUUUUCCCGCAAUGGGGGAAAGGCUGAGGGGGCAACGCGGCGGGUGGGAUGACGCUUUUCGGAGGAAAAACAGCAGUUCAUGGGGACGAAGUACUGACGGUACCCAAAGAGGAAGGCCCGGCUAACUACGUG
rnacentral:rRNA from 1 species